CCCCUAGACGUUCUGGGCUGCACGCGCGCUACAAUAAUACGCCCAGCGAGUAUCACCGAGCUCGAAAGGGCAAGGUAAACAAUAGAAAAGGUACUGUAAUGGUUAUAGAUCCUUGUAAUUAUUGAUCUUCAACGAGGAAUUCCUAGUAAGUAUGUGUCAUCAUCACGCACUGAUUACGUCCCUGCCCUUUGUACACACCGCCCGUCGCUCCUACCGAUUGGGUGAGCCGAUGAAACUCUCGGAUGUAGGCUAUUCAUAGCCCGCAGAAGAGAUUUGAAGCGUAGCGCUUAGAGGAAGGAGAAGUCGUAACA
rnacentral:rRNA from 1 species